GUUCACUCAGACCGACAACCUGCAGCUCCUGAACAACAGAAGAGGAAUACAGAAGACGCCCUCUUCAUAUCAUAUUUGUGAUUCUCUGAUUCAGCGUUAUAUCAGAGUCUUCGCCCUCGACUUCCUGGCCUUCUGGUUUUUUAUGCAGACUGAAGCAGAGGUCUGGACAUGUGGACAGACGUUUGCUGCGGACAGGUGGCAGAAGCGCGUUCACGUUCACUCAGACCGACAACCUACAGCUCCCGAACAUCAGAAGAGGAAUACAGAUGACGCCCACUUCAUAUACACAUUUGAGAUUUUCUAAAUCAGCGUUAAUAUCAGAGUCUUCACCUUCGACUUCCUGGCCUUCUGGUUUUUUAGACACACCGAAGCAGAGGUCUGGACAUGUGGACGGACGUUUGCUGCGGACAGAUUUGUGAGUUCGCAAUCUUAAAUUGCUUGAUGCAAACCUGCAAUUCUGAGGGAAAAGUAUGAAUUGUGAAAUAUAAAUCACAACUGUGUGAAAAAGAUUUGGAAAAAGUGAAGAUGUCAUCCCAUCAGAAUCCAGUCCAAACAUCAGUAAUCCUGUAUACGAUGCUGCUCCUGCCACUAAAGAACAACCACCAACGGAAGAAGACAAGCAUCAAGUGAUUUCCAGUGGAACAUUUGACCUCCUGCAGGACAGCUGAAAUCACCUCUCCAACCAAGCAGUCAGUGCAGCUCUCUUUAUGAACACAAGAGGAAUGUGAACUCCAUGUUACAGUGAUGAGACUUUACAUGCUAACACUAGACAGAGGUCUAGACAGACAUGUGUGCAUGUUUUUGAUUGGUGUGUUUGCUUUGGAUGAGUGUGAAUAUGUCAUUUUUAAAACUUGUUUAUAAGCAGUUUCUAAAUUCAGUUGUAUUACAGGCAUUAAUAAAUGUCCAGCAUGCAAUGAUUGAAAUAACUGCCCUGCUUACAGCACAA